rnacentral:rRNA from 1 species
UGGGGAAUAUUGCGCAAUGGGCGAAAGCCUGACGCAGCGACGCCGCGUGAGGGAUGAAGGUCUUCGGAUCGUAAACCUCUGUCAGCAGGGAAGAAAUUUUAGUGUGCUAAUCAGCAUUAAAUUGACGGUACCUGCAAAGGAAGCACCGGCUAACUCCGUGCCAGCAGCCGCGGUAAUACGGAGGGUGCGAGCGUUAAUCGGAAUUACUGGGCGUAAAGCGCUCGUAGGUGGUAUGUCAAGUCAAGGGUGAAAUCCCCGCGCUCAACGUGGGAACUGCCUUUGAAACUGGCAGACUGGAGUGUGUGAGAGGAUAGUGGAAUUCCAGGUGUAGGAGUGAAAUCCGUAGAUAUCUGGAGGAACAUCAGUGGCGAAGGCGACUAUCUGGCACAUAACUGACACUGAGGAGCGAAGCGUGGGUAGCAAACAGGAUUAGAUACC